rnacentral:rRNA from 1 species
CCUACGGGGUGCAGCAGUGGGGAAUAUUGCACAAUGGGCGAAAGCCUGAUGCAGCAACGCCGCGUGAAGGAAGACGGUUUUCGGAUUGUAAAAUUCUGUUCUUAGUGAAGAAUAAUGACGGUAACUAAGGAGCAAGCCACGGCUAACUACGUGCCAGCAGCCGCGGUAAUACGUCGGUGGCAAGAGUUGGCCGGAAUUAAUGGGUGUAAAGGGAGUGUAGGCGGGAAGUCAAGUCAGCUGUGAAAACUACGGGCUUAAUCUGUAGACUGCAGAUGAAACUGGCGUUCUAGAGUGAAGUAGAGGUUGGCGGAAGUCCGAGUGUAGCGGUGAAAGCCGUAGAUAUCUGGAGGAACAUCAGUGGCGAAGGCGACUAUCUGGCACAUAACUGACGCUGAGGAGCGAAAGCGUGGGUAGCAAACAGGAUUAGAUACCCCUGUAGUC